ensembl:lncRNA novel transcript
AUAUCUUCCAGCACUGGCCAGAAUUUGACCUUUGGUGUCAUGAAAAAGACACCCUUAUUUUCACAGAUAUUCAGACCAAUGCGUCUCAUAUGAGAUGAAGAAAUGUCCAGAAGAAACUAUACUGAACUGACAGAAUUUGUUCUCUUGGGUCUAACAAGCCGUCCAGAGCUGCGAGUUGCUUUCUUGGCACUGUUCCUUUUUGUCUACAUAGCCACUGUGGUAGGAAACUUGGGGAUGAUUAUUUUAAUCAAAGUUGAUUCUCGACUUCACACUCCCAUGUAAUUUUUUCUCUCCAGUUUGUCCAUUCUAGAUCUGUGUUUCUCCACAAAUUUCACUCCCAAAAUGCUAGAAAAUUUCUUAUCAGAGAAGAAGACCAUUUCCUAUGCAGGUUGUUUGAUGCAGUGCUAUGUUGUCAUUGCUGUGGUCCUUGCAGAGCACUGCAUGUUGGCAGUCAUGGCAUAUGACCGCUAUAUGGCCAUCUGUAAUCCAUUGCUCUACAGUAGCAAAAUGUCCCAAGGUGUUUGUGUCCACCUGGUCAUUGUCCCUUAUGUCUAUGGCUUUCUUCUCAGUGUGAUGGAAACCUUAAGGACCUACAACCUCUCCUUCUGUGGAACAAAUGAAAUCAACCAUUUCUACUGUGCUGAUCCUCCUCUUAUCAAACUGGCAUGCUCUGACACGUACAGCAAGGAGCUGUCCAUGUACAUAGUAGCCGGCUACAGCAACGUCCAGUCUCUUCUGAUCAUUCUCACAUCCUACAUGUUCAUCCUUGUCGCUAUCCUCAGAAGCCAUUCUGCAGAGGGAAGGAAAAAAGCUUUUUCCACAUGUGGUUCCCACCUGACAGUUGUCACAAUCUUCUAUGGAACCCUCUUCUGCAUGCAUUUGAGACGUCCCACAGACGAGUCCGUGGAGCAGGGGAAAAUGGUGGCUGUGUUUUACACCACAGUGAUACUCAUGCUGAACUCCAUGAUCUAUGGCCUCAGGAACAAGGAUGUGAAAGAGGCGUUGAAAAAAGCAAUAGGAAAACAAACAUUGGGAAAAUAAAAAUGCUAAGCUAUCAUUAAAAAUUUGUGAAGUAAUGAGAUAUAAUAUCAUUGGGUUAGAUGUCACAUUUUAGGCUACAUUUGCACAAUUCAUUUCUAAUUUUCUGUUAGGUAGCUGACUGAGUUAAGCUUCCUGAAACUAGCGGGUUGAAACGGGAAGAGUAGAAGAUUCCAUUUAGGCUUGCACGGUGGCUCACGCCUGCAAUUCCCAGCACUUUGGGAAACUGAGGUGGGUGGACCACGAGGUCAAGAGAUCGAGACCAUCCUAGUCAACAUAAUAAAAAUACAAAAAUUAGCCAGGUAUGGUGGUGGUUGCCUGUAAUCCCGGCUACUUGGGAGGCUGACGCAGGAGAAUCACUUGAACCCAGGAGGCGGAGCUUGCAGUGAGUCGAGAUAGUGCCACUGCACUCCAGCCUAGCAACAGAGCAAGAUGCUGUCCCCCCACCCAAAAAUAGAUGCCAUUUAGGCAAUUUUCUCAUUCCUGCUUGUAACAGCAAGUGUCACUUCUUGCAAAAUAUAGUGGUUUAAACCAAACUGAUUUUUUGCUUUAUUUUGUUUUGAUAACCGUCAUUCCACUAAAGUUAUUUUGUAAAUCAUGAUGUUUAGGUUUAGUUGUAUUUAAAUAUCAACAUGAGCAGGGAGACUCACCCCAGUGCAAGUAAAUUACUAUAUUCUUACUUUCCUUCCAUUUCACUUAUCAUCAUACUGUGAAGGAUUCUAAUAUGGCCUCAGCCAAAUUACAAUAUUCCUUAAUCUUUAGAGGUUGUUAGAGAAGGGUCAACACUGCUGACGUUAAAUCAACAAUCAGCAAGUGUAUGCUAAAAUUUUCUUAUUUAGUUUCUCCAUUGAUCAACAUUAUAUCUUACAAUGUCUUUUUUUUUUUUGAGAUGGGUGGGGUCUCCCUCUGUCACCCAGGCUGGAGUGCAGUGAUGCGAUCUCGGCUCACUGCAGCCUCCACCUGCCGGGCUCAAGCAAUCCUUCCCCCUCAGCCUCCCAAGUAGCUGAGACCACAGGAGCAUGCCACCACACCUGGCAAAUUUUUGUGUAUUUUUGGUAGAGGCAGGAUUUCAACACAUUGCCCAGGCUGCUCUUGAACUUCAGAGCUCAAGCAAUCUGACUGCUUCUGCCUCAAAAAGUGGUUGGGAUUACAGGCAUGAGCCACCAUACCUGGCCAUCUUAAAAUGUCUUAGCAGCAAAGGCAAAUACACCAUUAUAAUCUGUGUCAGAAGAGGGGACUUGUGGUCUUCAUGGACCAUUGUCAUAAGGAAAUUUCUCAUAAGUGUGAAGCCAUGGUGUCAAAAAAUUCCAAUCCAGCCAGGCACAGUGGCUCAUGCCUGUAAUCCCAGCACUUUAGGAGGCUAAGGUGGAAGGAUCAUUUGAGCUCAGGAGUUCGAGGUUGGAAUGAGGUGUGACUAUGCCACUCAGCCACUCACUUCAGCCUGAGCAACAGAGCAAGACCCUGUCUCUGAAAAAAUAAAAUAAAAUAAAAUAAAAUCCAAGUAUCAGGAAAGAGUUGGAAUCAGAUUACUUGGCUGUUUACCCAGCCAUCUAAAGAUUCUUCUCACCCUCAUGGAUGAUUUGAGGACCUAGAACUCUCCUUCUGUGUUGCUAAUGAAAGCACAUUAUCCAACCAUCUAAAAAUUGGAAACAGACACAAAACUGUUAGGGGUCACAAGCUGAAUUACUGCAUAGCAAGAGAAGCAAUACCUAGCAAAGAUGUGCCAAAGAUGCUAAGUACUGACCAAGCCUGAUGGUGUUUCUUCUCACAUCUAACCCUGCUUUAAAAGUUAAAGGAAUGGAUAAGGCAGUAAUAUAAAUACAAUGACUAUCAUCAUUUUGUUAUAUUGCUAUUAACCAAUAAUAUCUAACCAUUAGUUCAAUAAAGACAUCUUUGGAUUUAAAAUAAUUUUGCCAGUAGAGGUACAAUUUAUCGUGGUAAUUUUUAUGCUUAGGAGAAAAGGGAAUAUGAUCUUCAGAGACCUGUGAGCAUUUAUUAAAAUCUUAUUAACUGAUAGAUGGCCCACACCGUCUUGUGUUCUAGACCAUAAUUCUAUUGAGUCAAUGUUAAUGUUCCAUGAUCACAAAUAACUGAAAGAAAAUUAAACUGUUUUACCUUCAACACACUCACACACACUUUUAUGUGUGUGUGUGUGUGUGUGUGUUAAAUUCUCCAAUUCUCUGUGGAUAUCAACUUUUCCUACAAUUCAAUUCAGUUCUGACACUAUCUACCUGGCACUUGCCUCAGAUCACACAGGCUCAGCCCCACAACACUGCUUUACCUCCCAUUCCUUAGCCACUUCAGACACUGAUGGCAAAUCUGUGAUCCAGUUUUGCAAGAUAGCUCCAAAAUGCUCUAUGUUAUUUGAAGAAAAAAUAGAGUAUAAAAUUGGAAAAAAAAAUUGCCAGGCAGGGUGGCUCAUGCCUAUAAUCCCAGCACUUUGGGAGGUAGAGGCAGGAGGAUCACUGAAUCCAGGAGUUUGAGAUCAGCCUGUGCAAUAUAGUGAGAUAUUGUCUGCACAAAAACAAACAAACAAAUGCAACAAAACUAGUCAGGAGUGAUGGCACAUGUCUGUAGUUGCAGCUACUUGGGAGGCUGGGGUGGGAGAAUUCCUUGAGACUGAGAGAUUGAGGCCACAGUGAACCUGUAUUGUGCCUCUGCACUUCCGCCUGGGAAACAGAGAGACCCCAUCCCCAAAAUAAAACAAUAAAACAUUAAUAAAAUUAGGGAAAAAUUAAGAGGACAUGAUCAUCACGUCCUUUGAAAAGAUGUCAAUUUCAUAUGCAAAUUUGAAAGUCAGGAUUAUUUGAGGUAGAAGGCCAUACUUCUUCAUACUUCAAAGACUAUUUGAAAAUUUGAGGAUUUCAAUAACUUACAAUAGAGUGGGGGUAGGAAGGAGUAGCCUAGAACCAAGUGAUAAGUGUGGUGCUGUCAGAGUCCAGGAACAAAACUUUAUGUUGGGUUGAUUAUAAAGCAACAUAAUCCCAGAUCUACUUAACUCUUCAACUAUAAUAUAAUAAAUGUAUUUUUUUCAUUUAUCCAUUCACAUGUUUAAUGUCUAUCAUGUGGUUGAUAUUGUGUGAUAUUCUUGGAGAACAAACAAAAAUAUAUUCCCUGACUGAUACUGCUACCUGAUGGUAUGAGAAGUAGGCAGAGACCAAUCAAAAUUUACAAAAAUGUUUAAUUUUAAAAUGAGCUACUGAG